UGAGAGCCCUUGGAACGCCAAGGAUCGCAAAGGGCUAUUCUGUAUGUGUCAUCUGUAUGUAAAGGGCUAGUCCAUCAUGUGUGACCUGUAUGUAGUGUAGCACAGAAAACAUUGCACGAGUCUUCACAAAUGUGACCAAAAGUUGAACAUGACUGUGUCUGCUUUGUGGCCAUUGUGCAUGGGGUGAGGGACUGUGGAGACAGCUGCUCACUGGGCCCUCACUGUUCUCAGCAGUCCUAUCCCUGACACAGACACUCUUGAAGGGCUAGAAAAUCUGGCUCUAGGUAAACUGGGUGCCUCAGAAAUCUUUGUGUGCCAAACCAGAUGCUGACAUUGGGACGGGCAAAUGCAUGUCCUUUCUUUCCCUAGGCCUACAAAUUCCUAAAGGGAAUUAAAUCAUACACAAUCGAACCUGCAAUAGGAAAAAACGGCAAAGGGAAGUCUUGAAACACAGCUAAGGCAUAAAUCUGAGGGUGCUUCUCCUUGUGUGAAGAUCUGUGCUGCUUG
ensembl:antisense Gm13008 predicted gene 13008